UCUCGGCGGCCAAAAGUUCUGGGAGGAGUUCAAUUUUUGUAUACAAGAGGUUGCAUUCUCUCCCUGUGACUGGGGCGUGGAGUUUUUUCCCUUGUCCGGCAGCAAUACAGAUGAGGAUCAUUAUAACUGAUCGUUAAUUCGUGGGAGAUCUGAUGUUCGGUUUGCCCCUGUUGUUACUGAUAUAGAAACCAUGAAGACAAGGCAAAGGGAUAUGAGAAAAUAUAGGAUUCAAGCUCUGCUGUGCAUCUGUGGUAACAAUGCUCUGUCUAACUCAUUUCGGAAGUGAUGUAUAUGAGGAAUAUAGAAGAGCUUCUCGGGGGUGGCGGUCUAUGCCAAAACCUGGACUAUACCGUUCCCAGCGCCGGGCAAGAGUUUUGUGUUGUUUGAGACACUCCGUGCUCAAUCAAUGGGGGGAGUGUAGCCGCUGUUAUCAACAUCGGCAUGGCGUACCCGCUGGCAUCAGCAUCACGUGUAUAACGUCUGUAGCCACUGCCAUCAGCAUCGGCAUGGCGUAGCUGCUGGUUUCAGCAUCACGCGUACAUCAUCCCCUCUAGGACUUGGUUGACGGUUUCUUCAUGGGUUGCGAUAAGGAUAAUGCCAUGGCCGUGUUCCUCCAUGUGUUUGUAUGUGCUGAGUUAGGCCUUGUCCCUAGUGUUGACGUAUAAAUGAAGGAAGGGCGUCUCACGAAAGGGGGGCCAUCACAGGUUAUAGAACAGUUUGAGAGUGAAUACUGGCUCGACAACACGUACAUAAGGACCGAUCUGUGGACUUCUGUUAAAGGCCUUGACUGUUCCCGCUAUGCGUUUGACCGCAUUCAAAUAAAUUGAGAAGCGAGUACGA